CGGGGGCGCGGGAGGGCCUGAGUCGGGCAGGGUAAUGGCAGAAUCACAGAGCGCGCUGGACGGUGUGAAUGAAUCCACGCGGGAGUGGCGCGGGGCCGCCUCUCCGAGCACACCCGGCGAGCACCAAGCUCUGCGCCUCGUCGUUGUGCGAUGGGUGUCCCAUCGCUUCUCCCAGUGACCCUAGGAAGGAGGUCUCCUUUCAGGCGAAGGAGCUAAGCACAGAGACGAACCUUCUGUUCCCAUGAAGACACUGUGCUACUUCUCCGUAACCAUUACUGGGGCUUGGGACUGCUCUGGCCAAUAGAGGGCUGCAGAAGCGAUGUCAUGUGACUCCCAAGGCUGCGUCUUGAGCAGCGUCCUGCUCUCUGGAAAGGUCCGCCUUGGAACUAGAACUUCCUCCAUGCUGUGAGGAAGCCCAGGCCACAAGGGAGACGCCUGUGUUGCUGCUGGCGUUCCUACGGAGCCCUCUGCCGACAGCUGGCCUCGGCUGCCUACGUAAGUAAGCCCUCAAGGUUCCAGACCUGCCUUUGAGCUUUCCUGGGGAGGGGGCGAUCAGUGGGGCUGAGGCAAGCUAUCCCUACCUUGUCAUGGCCAAGUUGCAGAUUCAUGAGCAAAACAAAUGCUGUCAUUGUUUUAAGCUACUGUGUUUUAGGGUUGUUACGCAGCUGUGGUAACAGUCAUUACUGUGUAUGAAUGAUUCCCAUUUGAGAGACGAAUAAAUGAUACAGAGGGAGUCUGUCAAAGACUGCCCUGCUGGUAAUCAGACUCCAGAGGACAGUGUCUGUUUAACUUUUUAUUAAUAACAUUAGCAAACACAAAAGUAGAGAGAAUGUCACAAGUCACCCACAUGUACGUAUCACCCUGAGUCAACAAUCACCAAGUCAUGGCCUGUCCUCAUUCACUUCCCUCCACUGCUGGGUCAUUUUGAAGCAAACUGUAUACAUAUUAGAUCAUUGCAUUUGUAAAUGCUUCAAUAUUUAUCUCUAAAAGAAAGUCCAUUUGCUGGUGCAGUGACUCAUGCCUGUAGUCCCAGCACUUUGGGAGGCUGAGGUGGGAGGACAGCUUGAGACCAGGAGUUUGAGACCAGCCUGGG